rnacentral:rRNA from 1 species
AAUUUUGGACAAUGGGGCAACCCUGAUCCAGCCAUUCCGCGUGAGUGAAGAAGGCCUUCGGGUUGUAAAGCUCUUUUGUCGGGGACGAAACGGUUUCAACUAAUACUUGAGACUACUGACGGUACCCGAAGAAUAAGCACCGGCUAACUACGUGCCAGCAGCCGCGGUAAUACGUAGGGUGCGAGCGUUAAUCGGAAUUACUGGGCGUAAAGCGUGCGCAGGCGGUUUUGUAAGCCAGAUGUGAAAUCCCCGGGCUCAACCUGGGAAUGGCAUUUGGAACUGCAAAGCUAGAGUAUGGCAGAGGAGACUAGAAUUCCUGGUGUAGCAGUGAAAUGCGUAGAUAUCAGGAGGAAUACCGAUGGCGAAGGCAGGUCUCUGGGUCAAUACUGACGCUCAUGCACGAAAGCGUGGGGAGCAAACAGGAUUAGAUACCCUGGUAGUCCACGCCCUAACUCGAUCUCACCCUGCUUCUUGGGNNAUCUAUUUUCUUACUAACGCAGCUAACGCGUGAAGUUGACCGCAUUCGGAGUACUUUCCCGAGU